AUCCAGCUGACUAGUCCCCAAAUAGGACGAAAUGCGCGUUGUCCUGGAU
rnacentral:hammerhead_ribozyme from 1 species